ensembl:lncRNA
GGAAAACCCUCCUGUCUGAGAACCGGUUUCUCAGCCUGGCUUGGAGGGGUAAGAGGAAUAGAUACAGCAGCAGUCUCCUGUCGUGGCCACUCUCCCCUUGCUCCCUCCUGCGCACCACCUUUUCACCAGAGUGGCUCUCCAGUCUAGCCAGCCUGCGGGGCUCCUAGCUUUGGCUUCCAGUAAAGCGCCAGCAGCCGUGACUCGGACACUUGGUGCUGAAACUAGAUCUUUCACCAAGGCUGGAGGCGAGGCGCCAGCCUAGAGCCAGAGGUGGCUGCCGCCCACGGUCCCCAGAACGUGGAGGGCAUCCUGGACCCCCAUCCCCCAGCUGACACAACCCUCCCCUUGGCCACCUUCAGGACCUCACCAGGAAUGUUAGAACACUCAACACGUAGUGAGAAGGCAAGGAGCAAAGCCACGGUGUGCUGUAAAGAAAAUACUCUUUCAUCCGAGGAGCCACAGGUGUGGAGCGUUGAAACGCUUUGAAGAAGUGUGUUGCUAAUAGCCCAUAUAUAAUUGCAGAGAAGUCUUCAAUGGAAGCCCUUCGUGAGAUAAAUGGACAGUCUGGGCAAGUUGACAUGUUGGAGAGUCUGACAAGUUUAACAACUUUAGCAGAGAUGUGU